rnacentral:lncRNA from 1 species
CCCUCUUCUGGUUUCCUUGAACUCCUGCACAUCUAUGGUACACAUAAACUCAUUCAAGCCAAUACACACACAUACACACAGGUGCUCGCGUGCACACACCCCUGUUAUAUGUCUGACCCCUCCCACUUGCUGACUUCACCUGCCCCAUGGCUUGUCUAAGCUCACAGGAUGCAGUGCUUCCUUUCCUGGCUCACUUCCUCUGAUGACUCAGCAGAAGCAGCUGCGGGAGAAGCUGGUUUGGCUGGGGAAGAACCUUUGUCACUGUCCCAGAGAGAGCUUCGGGACAUAUGGGCUCAGCAGCUGAAGCUGGGGAUGACAGCUAAAAACUCAUUCUCAACUGUGUGCAGACAUGUGCUACAUAAUGAUGCUGGGACAGAGAUGAACCAUAGCACACAGUGGUGGUGACGUCAUAAGCAGCCUGAUCCAGGAAAAGGAGAUAAACAUGGUUCACCCAGGAAGAAGA